GAUGAACGCUGGCGGCGUGCCUAAUACAUGCAAGUCGAGCGAACGGACGAGAAGCUUGCUUCUCUGAUGUUAGCGGCGGACGGGUGAGUAACACGUGGAUAACCUACCUAUAAGACUGGGAUAACUUCGGGAAACCGGAGCUAAUACCGGAUGAUAUUUUGAACCGCAUGGUUCAAAAGUGAAAGACGGUCUUGCUGUCACUUAUAGAUGGAUCCGCGCUGCACUAGCUAGUUGGUAAGGUAACGGCUUACCAAGGCAACGAUGCAUAGCCGACCUGAGAGGGGGAUCGGCCACACUGGAACUGAGACACGGUCCAGACUCCUACGGGAGGCAGCAGUAGGGAAUCUUCCGCAAUGGGCGAAAGCCUGACGGAGCAACGCCGCGUGAGUGAUGAAGGUCUUCGGAUCGUAAAACUCUGUUAUUAGGGAAGAACAUAUGUGUAAGUAACUGUGCACAUCUUGACGGUACCUAAUCAGAAAGCCACGGCUAACUACGUG
rnacentral:rRNA from 1 species